GUCUGCAUGGAGCCGACCUUGAAAUACCACCCUUUAAUGUUUGAUGUUCUAACGUGGACCCGUGAUCCGGGUUGCGGACAGUGUCUGGUGGGUAGUUUGACUGGGGCGGUCUCCUCCUAAAGAGUAACGGAGGAGCACGAAGGUUGGCUAAUCCUGGUCGGACAUCAGGAGGUUAGUGCAAUGGCAUAAGCCAGCUUGACUGCGAGCGUGACGGCGCGAGCAGGUGCGAAAGCAGGUCAUAGUGAUCCGGUGGUUCUGAAUGGAAGGGCCAUCGCUCAACGGAUAAAAGGUACUCCGGGGAUAACAGGCUGAUACCGCCCAAGAGUUCAUAUCGACGGCGGUGUUUGGCACCUCGAUGUCGGCUCAUCACAUCCUGGGGCUGAAGUAGGUCCCAAGGGUAUGGCUGUUCGCCAUUUAAAGUGGUACGCGAGCUGGGUUUAGAACGUCGUGAGACAGUUCGGUCCCUAUCUGCCGUGGGCGCUGGAGAACUGAGGGGGGCUGCUCCUAGUACGAGAGGACCGGAGUGGACGCAUCACUGGUGUUCGGGUUGUCAUGCCAAUGGCACUGCCCGGUAGCUAAAUGCGGAAGAGAUAAGUGCUGAAAGCAUCUAAGCACGAAACUUGCCCCGAGAUGAGUUCUCCCUGAGACUUUAGGUCUCCUGAAGGAACGUUGAAGACGACGACGUUGAUAGGCCGGGUGUGUAAGCGCAGCGAUGCGUUGAGCUAACCGGUACUAAUGAACCGUGAGGCUUAACCUUACA
rnacentral:rRNA from 1 species